UGGUACACGUUCGGUGGAGGAACCAGACUGGAUGUUGGAAGUGAUGUCCGUCCCACCCUGACGGUGCUGCCCCCCUCCAGCCAGGAGCUGCAGCAGGGGAAGGCCACGCUCACGUGUCUGGCCAACAAGGGCUUCCCCUCAGACUGGAGUCUGGCCUGGAAGGUGGACGGCAGCAGCAGCAGCAGCAGCAGCAGCUGGGAGCAGAGCAGGAGCCCCGGGGUGCUGCAGCAGGACGGCCACUACAGCUGGAGCAGCACCCUGAGGCUCACUGCAGACCAGUGGAGGAAGGUGGGCUCUGUGACCUGUGAGGCCACCCAGGGCUCCCAGACUCCACUCUCAGAGACACUGAGGAGAGACCAGUGUUCCCAGUCCUGA